rnacentral:rRNA from 1 species
CACGCUGUAAACGGUGGGUACUAGGUGUGGGGUCCAUUCCACGGGUUCCGUGCCGUAGCUAACGCUUUAAGUACCCCGCCUGGGGAGUACGGCCGCAAGGCUAAAACUCAAAGGAAUUGACGGGGCCCCGCACAAGCGGCGGAGCAUGCGGAUUAAUUCGAUGCAACGCGUAGAACCUUACCUGGGUUUGACAUGGAUCGGGAGUGCUCAGAGAUGGGUGUGCCUCUUUUGGGGUCGGUUCACAGGUGGUGCAUGGCUGUCGUCAGCUCGUGUCGUGAGAUGUUGGGUUAAGUCCCGCAACGAGCGCAACCCUUGUUCACUGUUGCCAGCACGUUAUGGUGGGGACUCAGUGGAGACCGCCGGGGUCAACUCG